UGGGGAAUAUUGGACAAUGGGCGCAAGCCUGAUCCAGCCAUGCCGCGUGAGUGAUGAAGGCCCUAGGGUUGUAAAGCUCUUUCACCGGUGAAGAUAAUGACGGUAACCGGAGAAGAAGCCCCGGCUAACUUCGUGCCAGCAGCCGCGGUAAUACGAAGGGGGCUAGCGUUGUUCGGAUUUACUGGGCGUAAAGCGCACGUAGGCGGACUAUUAAGUCAGGGGUGAAAUCCCGGGGCUCAACCCCGGAACUGCCUUUGAUACUGGUAGUCUUGAGUUCGAGAGAGGUGAGUGGAAUUCCGGGUGUAGAGGUGAAAUUCGUAGAUAUUCGGAGGAACACCAGUGGCGAAGGCGACUUUCUGGUCUGUAACUGACGCUGAUGUGCGAAAGCGUGGGGAUCAAACAGG
rnacentral:rRNA from 1 species